rnacentral:rRNA from 1 species
CAUUUUUACAAAUAAAAGCUUUUGGUAAACGUGUUAGGCAUGCUUUAAUGACAAACGUUUUUUGCCGAAAAAGCGAAGGAAGCUCUUGUUGCUUUUUUUAGUCUACUUAGGCGUUAGUAAUAAGUAGGUAAAAAAUAAACUUCGCUGUUUUUUUGAGAAAUCUCUGGUCAGUUUUACUCCUGUAAGAUGAAUCUUCUGCGAAACAGGAACUGAAAUUAACAAAGACCCCGCUAAUAUUAGAGAAAAGUGAGCGGGUAUGUAGUUAGUUAAGCUGUAUUAGUUUUUAGCAAUGUAAAAAAUAAACUAAUCCGUUAAACGGGACCUUAGUAAGUGAUAGUCUUGUAUUUUCGUUGUUUUAGCUUAAUAAUAUCUUUAACUUUUAAAGUUUUGGAAAAGCUCCUCCUUUGUUGCUACAAGACGUAAAGCAUGAUCCAUAGAGAAUUAGUACUGUGAAGGAACACAAAUAACCUUGUAAGGUUAAUCUUUUAUUAUAAAACGAAAACUAAACCUAAAGCAAGUCGCUGUUUUCUUUUUUGUCAAAACGUACCUUUGGUAUAAUGGUUCUGUGAGUUUUUUAAAGACGUGGCAUUCUCUAAUGGAACUAGAAAAUUUUUCAAUUUCGGUUUCGUACCAAGAAUUAGAUGCCUAAUCGUACGCGAAAAAGCUUUAGUGAAAACAAAAACAGCUAAAUAAUUUAGUUAGGUUAGUAAUUUUUUUUGAUCAAAAAUACUUUAUUUUUAAACGAGAAUUUUCCUAUUCAAAAAUCAAAAACGAGAAUUUUGCCAUUCAAAAAAAAUUUAUUCCCCAAAACACGUACGGCCUUUGGCUUUCCACGCACUGCACUGCGUCGAAAGGAGGGUUUUUCCUCAUACUAAAACACGUACGGCCUUUGGCUUUCGACGCACUGCACUGCGUCGAAAGCUAACUACGUUAUUCAAAGUUGUUUUUUCUAAUGUCGCUUUAAAAAGACCCGAAUUCAAACGAGCUAUCCACUUCCUGGUCGAAUCUGUUGCAUCCAAUAUGAGAAGGACCGAACCCGUGUUUGUGGCAAUAAACUGGGAUGAGAUGUGGAUAGGAGUGAAAGGCUUAUCAAGUUUGGGGUUAGCUGGUUCUCCACGAAAAGUGUGUUGGCACUAACAAUUGCUCAUUUUGUGUGGGUAGAGUUCCUUUAAUGUAAAAGAGGGGUUGUUUGCCCUGCCUUUUAUUUUAUUAGCUCCAAAUCACAUAAAACGCAAAAAUUGAAACAGAGAUUUGGUGCUAAGAUCAUUUCUCUAAAGGGUAACAGCCCUAAAUGCUCUUUAAGGUCCUUAAGCACGUAGCUAAAAUAAUUUGAUAUUCGACAUAGCUUUAAAGUAGGCUUGGAAUCAGCCACCUUUUAUGAACGCGUAAUAGUGCAAAAUCGUAAAUAUUAAAAAUUUUUAAUGUUUUGGGUUUUUUGGCGCCGAAAAGGCAUAUUAUCAACAAAAAAAUAAUGGUAGUGGAGUGUUCUGUAAAAAUACAUUUUUUAAGAUUGUAAACAAUUAAAUUGCAUAAUCAGAAGAAAAAAUACAGGAAUGAGUAACAUGUUUUUUUAUCGAAUUAAAAACGCCGUAAACGCUUGGUUUCCUUUUUUUUGAUAAAAAGGGUUAAGCAAGUUCUAAAAAAAGCCCGAACGGGUGAGCUUGAUGAAGUUAAAAAAAGUUUGGUUUAGAAGUAGUAAUUAGUUUGUGCAGCUAGUUCGUUGGCUCGCGCUAUUUUCAGCUAAAACUCUUUUCUGGAAAUACCAACCUUUUUUAUGAUUGUACUAAAACCAACACCGGUUUGUUUGUUUUCUUCAAUGAAGGCGUUUGGGUUAAUUUUUGUAAAGGAAUUCGGCAAAUUUACUCUGUACUUUCGAAAUAAGGAGGUUUGUGCAAGUGUUUUGCAUAAAAUUGUAAAAAGAGAAGAGCGACUGUUUAUCAACAACACAGGACUUUGCAAAGGAGAAAUCUUUAGUAUAAAGUUCGAAACCUGCCCAUUACUUGUAACAAAAAAUACAAAGUUUUUUGCUUUUUUUUAAUGUCUCGUAAAUGGCGGCGAUAACCCUGAUCGUCCUAAGGUAGCGAAAUUCCUUGUCGGCUAAUUACCGACCCGCAUGAAUGGUGUAACGACUCUUCUGCUGUCUUUACAAAACACCCAGUGAAAUUGAAAUUUUUGUGAAGAUGCAAAAAUUUUUUAGAAAGACGGGAAGACCCUUUGAACCUUUACAACAAAUAUUCCUUGAAAAAAACAAUUAGUCUGUUUAGAAUAGGCAGAGGUUUAAUAUCAAUAAUGAAAUACUGCCCUACUAAUCUUGUUUUUUUCUAAUCUUUUUAGGGAGACAUGGCAUGUUUGGUUGUUUUGCUGGGGCGGUAUCCUCUCAAAAAGUAUCGGAGGUGUUUAUAAAGUAAAAAAGAAAAAAAAAGAACUUUUUUUUAAGUACAAGGAUUAUCUUUUUGCUUGAUGAUAAAAACGGUAGUUUAAGUCAGGACGAAAGUCUAACCUAUUGAUCCAACGUUAUUUAGAGGAAAAGUCGUUGCUAUCAGAUUACAAGGUACUCUAGGGAUAACAGGCUAAUUCUACCAAAAAGUUCUUAUUAACGGUAGUGCUUGGCACCUCGAUGUCGACUCAUCUCGUCCUGGAGCUGCAGGCGGUUCCAAGGGUUUGGUUGUUCGCCAAAAAAAGAGGUACGUGAGUUGGGUUCAGAACGUCGUAAGACAGUUUGGCUCCUAUCUCCUAAAAAUGUAAGGUAACUAACUUAGAGUUGAAGUAAUAGAUCUUGUGUACGAAAGGAUCAAGGUGUAAUGACCGCUGGUAAAUCCGUUGUUUUAUAAACACGCGUUGAAUUGCUAAGUCGUAUACAGCUAACAAUUGAAAACAACAAUAUUGGAAGCUUUUACUAAAAAAAACUCUAAAAAAAGGGUAGAAUUCCCUUUUUCGCAACUGCCUUUGUUUUUGUAUAAAGUUUUCGCAAAAAGUAUGCAAACUUGUUUUUUAAAAGUUAG